UACGUAGGGUCCGAGCGUUGUCCGGAAUUAUUGGGCGUAAAGGGCUCGUAGGCGGUUUGUCACGUCGGGAGUGAAAACUCAGGGCUCAACCCUGAGCGUGCUUCCGAUACGGGCAGACUAGAGGUAUGCAGGGGAGAACGGAAUUCCUGGUGUAGCGGUGGAAUGCGCAGAUAUCAGGAGAAACACCGGUGGCGAAGGCGGUUCUCUGGGCAUUACCUGACGCUGAGGAGCGAAAGCAUGGGGAGCGAACAGG
rnacentral:rRNA from 1 species